AGCCCAUGGUGAGGACACUAUCUUAAUAAACUUUUAAAUCUAUCUCAUGUUUCAAAUAAUGAUUCUCCAUUUGUCUGAGUAAAAUUUGUAAUACAAUUCUUUAUGUA